AUGGCGGAGUGUUGUGUUUUUGUAUUUUGAUUAACUUUUUAAGUUACAAAAAAACACAGGACUGGCCAAAUAUAUUUAAUCAUAAUUUCGCAUAGAUUUAGUGCUAUUUAGCAUCUUAUUUUCAGAGGACAUUCAGGACAACAAUGAAGUAGUUUUUAAACUCUUUCACUUUCGAAUUCCUCGUCACGCACAAGGAAAUUAUCCUCCUCGCUUUGUCAGAUCGCCUUCGUCGUUUUUGGAACCCCUGAACUAUAGUAUAGUUAUAGUAUAUACUGAGUAUACUACCGAGUAUAGUUUGACACAUAAUGGCUCUCUUCCAAGUCACUGGUUUUAAGCCUUAUGCUGAACUCCGUGGGCAGAUUCUUCCAGCAGGACAGACGCACCUCGUCGACCGAACGAACCACUACAAUUUCGGGACCAAAACUCAAGAAUUUGCAGUGCCUGUGGGUGUAGACCCCUCAGGGUUUCUCAAAUCCUGCAACCGUGACGGAGGUGUGUGCAUAGACCUGAACCACGGCACGACCACCCUGGCCUUCAAGUUCAGACAUGGAGUCAUCGUGGCUGUGGACUCCAGAGCCUCAGCUGGCCGUUACUUAGCGUCCAACGAUGUCAACAAGGUCAUCGAGAUCAACCCCUACCUGCUGGGCACCAUGUCGGGCAGCGCUGCGGACUGCCAGUACUGGGAGAGACUCCUGGCCAAAGAGUGCAGGCUGUACAGGCUGAGGAACAACCACAGGAUCUCUGUGGCUGCUGCCUCCAAGCUGCUGUGUAACAUGAUGGUGGGUUACAGAGGCAUGGGCCUCUCUGUGGGGAGCAUGAUCUGCGGAUGGGACAAAGAGGGCCCUGGUCUGUACUAUGUGGAUGACAACGGGACACGUCUGUCUGGCCGUAUGUUCUCUACCGGCUGCGGCAACAGUUACGCCUACGGCGUGGUGAACAGCGGUUACCGGGAGGACAUGACGGUGGAGGAGGCGUACGAACUGGGCCGCCGGGGCAUCGCUCACGCUACGCACAGGGACACCUACUCUGGAGGGUCGGUCAACAUGUACCACAUGCAGGAGGACGGCUGGAUAAAGGUGUGUAAGGAUGACGUAUCAGAGUUGAUCCACCGCUACAGGAAGGGAAUGUUCUGAGUUUGACCCCUGAACCCAGAUCAACCUCAGCACUCUGAUUACGGAGUGUCCAAGAUGAUGCAACGUUUUUUCAAUACAUUUUAUUAAAAAUUAUAUUGAAAUAGUUGAUUUUAGAAAUGAAUGACCCCACUUUGUCUCCCAGCAGAGUGUGUGGUCCAUUUCUGAUUUUGAAUCAAUGAAAUAUCAGAACAUGAAAUGCUAAAGAACCGUUUCUUUCCGGGACAGAUGAACCUAAACUUUGCAGAAUCAAACUGUUAUUGAUGGUUAACAUCUUUGUUUGGUUAUUGUUCUUUAAAUAUCAUGUAAUGCAGGUACUGUGUAUGUUGAUUCUUACAUGGUUCCGUGUAUUGUUUUGUGGUUUUGUUAAAACAAUCUCAGCAACACAACACACAGCUCCAAAUAAAGACGUUUGUUCAGCCCA